CAGAAUGCUACUUAAACUUCUGUUUCUAGCAAUAUGGUGGCCUAUCUACUCCGAAUGACUUUGCCACUGCUGAACAGGCAAGAGAUGUGUCACAGGGUAUAACCACAGAGGGUGUAAUGCAAGAAUCUCCCCGAAGACACCAAUGAUCAGAAACAGGAAAUGUUGGAACUUGCCACCGCUGUCAUCCAGCCCACCAAGCAUCUUUGCCCUGACCAGUGCCAUGUGCCAGAAUUGGUGUUUCUCUCCCCUGGCCUCUGUUAAAAACAUGAGCGGCUGAAGACAAGCAGACAUGUGCUUCUCCCUGAAAGCACCUGAGUAGAGGUUUGGCAGCGGG
rnacentral:lncRNA from 1 species